UACUGUUGGCUUACAUUUAUGGUACGGGGUGGUCCCGUAAGACCAGUAAAGCGCAGUACCCCAUAUUUACCCCCCGCGAGGACCUCUGGAUCGGCGGCGGAGGAGAGAGGGAGGGAGGGCGUCGGCGGAGGGAGGGAGGGUGGGUGGGUGUAGCGGCGACGGCGGUGGGUGCGCGCACGCUCUACGCAGCGGCGGCGGCGGUAGCGGUAGGAGGUAGCGGGGGUAGAGCGGGCGGAGGGGGUGUAAGGGUAGAGCCAGUCGUAGGGGCACCGGCCGCGACCGUGAUCGUCGACGUCCUCCUCCACACCCAAUCGCCGCCACCCCGGUCGUUGUCGUCGUCGCUGUCUGCCCGCCCACGACCCGGUGGCCGGGCACCUCCUGCACACGUUCCACACGCACCACGCGCCGCGCCGCCGCGUCCUCGCCCCCCUCCGCGACGCCCGCUACCUCUGCACCAGCAGCGUAGUGGUAGCUGCCCUCCUCGCGUCCUUGACGCUCGAGGGGAAGCCGCUGGUCCGGAAGAGGAGGAAACGAGAACCGUCGGUGGCGACGCGAGGGCAGUCGCGGCAGGAACUCCAUGCAGAUGGUAGAGGAAGGGACGAAUAGAACGCCGGUAACACGGGAACGGCGUGACCAGGAUUGGUUCCGAAGACGGCGAGGAGCUGCGAGCCGUCCAGAGUGGACGCAAGGUCACUCAACUCUAACUUCCACCUGGUCCUAGACACCCGAAACAAGAUAAGCAGCCAGUGGGAACGGAACCGUGAUCGGCACGUUACCUUCUCUUUAUUGAGUACGUAACGAUUAAGGGAUGAACUUUCGAUGACGACACUUCCGUGGACAGUACCGUUUGAAGUGCUCAACGGGCUACUGGUCAAGUAAGGAGAGUCAUCCUACGAAAUGUCCCACAGCCAACAUCUCUGCCUUCUCCUCCAACUAUGUAGGAGCCGCGGACGACGUCGCUGGUGCUGGUGUAGUGCUCUCUUCCGUCCCCGUGGCCACGGACCGCUACUCCGCCGCUGCCGCUCCGACCUCCAGCUCCCCGCGACCCCUGCUUGCCUAGGCCGGCGAGGCCUGGACAAGGCCGGCCUAGGCCGCUGUCGAGCGCUGCCCCGACACCGCUCCUUCGAGGCCGCGCCACCGAGGACGCUCCUUCUCUCUCUCUCUCCCUUUUGCCAACUAUUCGUCAAUUAAUUCUAAUACGGUCUACACUGGAAGAUGAAUUGACACUACUACAUGUCUGGAAGACUUGAUCUAGUACACACGAGUUCAUGUUUUCCUUUAGGACCAGGUACGAGAUCGACGGCGUCGGAUGUCUUUAUGAGUGGUCGUUUACUACUACAUGUAGAUGAGAAGAGAUUCUUACUUUAUACACUGAGAACCUAUUUCGGCGACCAACCAAGCUCUCAUGGACGGGAAUUCAAAAUACAGACGGUUUACUUGUAGUGUAAGUGGUCUGGACCUUUUUCUCACCUUUUCCUAGAGGUUGGUCCUACGUAGUUCCGUAUACGAUCCCCUUUGUUUAGCGCUUGUUCGAACCACUUGGGAGGCACCUCCUCCGGCGGACCGACACCUCCAGAUUUCUGUUACAACUACGGUACGCGUUCGCGUUAGAUGGCACGGUCCAAUAUACACUGGCGUGGGCUGUCCCCACACCCCACGCCGUUCGGCGUGAAAGGUAGGUCACGUUUCCUUUGACCCGGCCAGCCGGGUAUACAGGUAUACAGAUAAAAUCAACGGUCGGGUAUGACGCAACUACUGCAAAGUAGCGGGCCAGUUCCUGUCUGUUGUCUUGGGUGCCGCAUGCCGGAGCGGCGGCGACCGAAGAGAGUACACGGCACAACAAAUGAUAGCCUAGGCACACGCUCUUAAUGUGGUUAUGCCUCGGUACCACGGAGGUAGACAUAAGGUAUU
rnacentral:rRNA from 1 species